GAAACAUUUGAAGUGACUUAGUGGCGGACGGGUGAGUAACGCGUGGGUAACCCGCCCUGUACUGGGGGACAACAGUUGGAAACGGCUGCUAAUACCGCAUAAGCGCACAGCAUCGCAUGGUGCAGUGUGAAAAACUCCGGUGGUACAGGAUGGACCCGCGUCUGAUUAGCUAGUUGGUGGGGUAACGGCCUACCAAGGCGACGAUCAGUAGCCGGCCUGAGAGGGUGAACGGCCACAUUGGGACUGAGACACGGCCCAGACUCCUACGGGAGGCAGCAGUGGGGAAUAUUGCACAAUGGGCGCAAGCCUGAUGCAGCGACGCCGCGUGAGUGAUGAAGUAUUUCGGUAUGUAAAGCUCUAUCAGCAGGGAAGAAAAUGACGGUACCUGACUAAGAAGCACCGGCUAAAUACGUGCCAGCAGCCGCGGUAAUACGUAUGGUGCAAGCGUUAUCCGGAUUUACUGGGUGUAAAGGGAGCGUAGGCGGCAUGGCAAGUCAGAUGUGAAAGCCCGGGGCCCAACCCCGGAACUGCAUUUGAAACUGUCAGGCUAGAGUACCGGAGAGGUAAGCGGAAUUCCUAGUGUAGCGGUGAAAUG
rnacentral:rRNA from 1 species